rnacentral:rRNA from 1 species
GUUAGUGGCUAAACCUUCUUGUCAAAGCCUGAUCUUGUUGGCUCUUAAAAGCAAAGCAAGACAAGGCCUGGUUAGGACUUGGAUGGGAGACUGCUGGGAAUUCCAUGUGCCACAGCG